AGGGAAUCUUCCACAAUGGACGCAAGUCUGAUGGAGCAACGCCGCGUGAGUGAAGAAGGUUUUCGGACCGUAAAGCUCUGUUGUUGGUGAAGAAGGAUAGAGGUAGUAACUGGCCUUUAUUUGACGGNAAUCAACCAGAAAGUCACGGCUAACUACGUGCCAGCAGCCGCGGUAAAUCGUAGGUGGCAAGCGUUGUCCGGAUUUAUUGGGCGUAAAGCGAGCGCAGGCGGAAGAAUAAGUCUGAUGUGAAAGCCCUCGGCUUAACCGAGGAAUUGCAUCGGAAACUGUUUUUCUUGAGUGCAGAAGAGGAGAGUAGAACUCCAUAUGUAGCGGUGGAAUGCGUAGAUAUAUGGAAGAAUACCAGUGGCGAAGGCGGCUCUCUGGUCUGCAACUGACGCUGAGGCUCGAAAGCAUGGGUAGCGAACAGGAUUAGAUACCCUGGUAGUCCAUGCCGUAAACGAUGAGUGCUAAGUGUUG
rnacentral:rRNA from 1 species